AUUGAACGCUGGCGGCAUGCCUUACACAUGCAAGUCGAACGGUAACAGGUCUUCGGAUGCUGACGAAUGGCGAACGGGUGAGUAAUACAUCGGAACGUGCCUAGUAGUGGGGGAUAACUACUCGAAAGAGUGGCUAAUACCGCAUGAGAUCUACGGAUGAAAGCAGGGGAUCGCAAGACCUUGUGCUACUAGAGCGGCCGAUGGCAGAUUAGGUAGUUGGUGGGAUAAAAGCUUACCAAGCCGACGAUCUGUAGCUGGUCUGAGAGGACGAUCAGCCACACUGGGACUGAGACACGGCCCAGACUCCUACGGGAGGCAGCAGUGGGAAAUUUUGGACAAUGGGCGCAAGCCUGAUCCAGCAAUGCCGCGUGCAGGAUGAAGGCCUUCGGGUUGUAAACUGCUUUUGUACGGAACGAAAAGCCCUGGGUUAAUACCCUGGGGUCAUGACGGUACCGGAAGAAUAAGCACCGGCUAACUACGUGCCAGCCGCCGCCGUAA
rnacentral:rRNA from 1 species